ACUUGACUUGUACUUGUUACUCUUCAAAGUGAGGAGCAUCCGCUUGCGCCAGGAAGGGUCAAACCAACUAUUGAGGCGCAUGUCGUUGCUGAUAAAAAUGGCAUGGACUUCGAUUCGUCUGUCCGUUUUCUGCAACAGGUACUUCAUCUCCAGAUCUUGCAGAUGUGUCUGAUUGCUGUUUCUUAAGAAUAAACACUUGGAAGUUCUGAUUGGAUUGGCAAGUGGCGAAAUCCCUCAGCUAAACCCCCGACCCUGAAUUAUUCUAACUCUUACACAUGGAUCACCAAGAAAGCUAACAUAUAAGAAGGACAGUUAUGGAGCAUUUGGACAACUCUUCCCAACUGUCAUGCAAGCAAGCCAUCCCAGAAGGCUUCCUAUGCCCACAGCCUGGGUAAAAGCUUGGCUGCAGCCUCACAGAGAUUAAAUGAAGAUGAUUUUAUGCCUGAGAUUUGAAUACAUACUUCUUCACUGAGACCUCAUGUUUGGAUACAUCUGUCAGCAGUGCAGUGGCAAGGAAAAUACACAAUGGAGUAAAUUCGAGACUUACUUCCAUAACUUACUAACUGAACAACUACUAAAAUAUCACUUAAUAUUUUAAUCUUCACUUUCCUGUGAAGUUGAAUAAUAAAUCCUGAUUUAUACAUCUCAGAGAGUUCAUGUGAGGAUAGAGUAAGAUAUCAUUUAUUAAAAAUAUGAAUGAAAGUAUGAAAUACAAGAACAAGAGCCAUGUAGAAAGGAAUAUCAAAAUAUAAAGAGAUUUUUCUCAGAAGAAAAUAUAGGACAAACUCAAGUAUGUAAUUGGUAAAGAUUUCUUAGGAUUUGAAUACAUUACCUACAGAAGAAAAAGAUUUAUAACUUAAGACUUCAACAGAAUUAAAAAGAUCUCUUCAAAAUACAUCAUUAAGGAAAUGAAAUAGCAAGUCAUCCUCUAGAACACAAAAUUUAUAAUUCUUUUGUCUGAGAAAAUACUUAAAUGGAAAUAUGCAAAGAAAUACUACACCUAAUAAUAAGAAAACAGCUCAAUAAAACUGCACAAAGUGUUUGAGCCAACAUUUUACAGAACAUCAUAAAUAGAAGGUCAAGAAGCGCUUCAAGUAAUAUUUUAACAUAAUCAGCUAUAGUAAAAGGAAAUUUCAGUGCCAUUCUAUUCAAAAAUUGGAAAAUGUAAGAAUUUAGAUGUGGCUGGAUCUAAAACAGUGCUAUUUUAAAACUUUUUUUACAUAUUUAACAUUGGAAAAAUGAUAGGGGUUUGUUCUAUUUUUUUUCUUACUAAUUCUAUGUUAAUAUAUAUGUGUUGAUCUUUGUUUUAACAGAAGUUGCCAUGUGACAAAAGUGGUGAGUGACCUUGAAUGUUUAAUUUGAGUGCAAUUUUGUUUGUAUUUUAAUAGAACCGAAGGCAAAGCCUUUCAAAAAUAGUUUUAUACUUAGGAAAAUGUUAAUUCUAAAUGCAAAAUUUUAAAAUAUGGGACUAAAGUACUUUUAAGACAAUUUAAUCUAAAUGUCAAAAACUUCACUUUAUGUUUCAUGAAUGAAUUCUAUAAAGAAAAAAUGACCUUUCUGGACUAAGGAACCUGAGAUUAAAGACCCUGGAAUAAGCCUGAAUAAUUGUUAUCACAAAAAAGUUUUCUCAUAAACCAGGAGUAAAUUUUAUUUUUGCUUUUCAAGACUUUAGAAUUUUUUCUUGAAUAGUCUGUGUCAUGUGAGUAAAGAAAAAUAAAGGAAAGAGGUUUGCUAACCCCUUUCCUAUUUAACCCAUUUCACAUUUGCCCACAAAACACUCACGGGUGGCAUUUGCUACUACAGCAUUUACUCCAGGAUAGCUUGCUAUUUUCAGGAACGAAUUUACUCCCUGCAUUUGGUAUGAAAUAUCCCACUGUCAUUAUUACUAUUUUCCCAUUGUUUUCCUAUAUCCAUAGUCUUUGGAAACAAAAUAUAUCAUUCUGUUUGUAGCAUGCUAUUUUUUUUGUAGCAGUAUUUCCAUUUACAAAGUAUUGUAAUUUUAGAUUGUUGAAAAUGUCACAUCCUAGAAAUCACAAUAUUUGCACUGCUACAUUUCGAUCAGAGACAAAUUCUAUUUAGAAAUAAGAUAAUUGAAAACCAGUCAGAUUUGCUUCAACCUCAGUCUGUGUUUAUGUAAAGUUACAUGAAGGCUGGCAGGGAGAUGCCCUUUUUUUUUCUAAAUGGGAGAAAAAUAAAACUGAUUUACAAGAAA